rfam:Gossypium raimondii Chr09_contig_1470, whole genome shotgun sequence.
AUUGAGCAUAAAUCCAAUGCCCCAAAACCCAAGGGUUCCUCCGUAAGGUUCGUCACAGAGGGUGAGUCAGGGCCUAAGAUCAGGCUGAAAGGCGUAGUCGAUGGACAACAUAUGAAUAUUCUUGUACUACCCCUUGUUGUUCCCAAGGGACAGAGGAGGCUAGGUUAGUCGAAAGAUGGUUAUCGAUUCAAGGAUGCAAGGUGCCCCUGCUUUGUCAGGGUAAGAAGGGGUAGAGAAAAUGCCCCAAGGGC